GGGGGUGUAGCUCAAUAGUAGAGUGCUUGCCUCACAUGCAAGAGGCCCGAGGUUUAACCUCCA
rnacentral:tRNA from 1 species